rnacentral:rRNA from 1 species
UACAGAGGGGGCAAGCGUUGUUCGGAAUUACUGGGCGUAAAGGGCGCGUAGGUGGCCUUCUAAGUUGAACGUGAAAUCCCUGGGCUCAACCCAGGAACUGCGUCCAAGACUGGGAGGCUUGAAUCCGGGAGAGGGAUGCGGAAUUCCAGGUGUAGCGGUGAAAUGCGUAGAUAUCUGGAGGAAUACCGGUGGCGAAGGCGGCAUCCUGGACCGAGAUUGACGCUGAACGGCGAAAGCUAGGGGAGCAAACGGG